ensembl:lncRNA
AUGAAUGAAUCAUGUAUUUUUUUAUGCCUGUCAAUUUAUGCUCUGGACGACUGUAAUACAGGUUGCAUAGAUGUCACCGUCAACGCCUCUCUGAAAUCUGAAGUCUAUCUCCCAUGUCACUUUGAUAUAAACCAUUACAAUGGAACAUUGGCAGUGAAUUGGAGACGCCAUUCCACUAUUAAGAGUCUUGUUACGAUCAUGACUGAUGGCAAAAUCAUCUUUGGUAGUCCUAGUGAAGGACGAGUGAAUGUUUUUCCCCUUCUGUCUAAACAUGGAAACUUCUCUAUCCUCAUCCAUGAUCUGCAGUCUUCAGACAUUGGCACCUACAUUUGUGAGCUGAACAGUGAAUGCUGGAGGGUGAAAAUCAUUGAACAGUACAGAAUCAGUGAGUCAAACUCCUGGCUCUACUUUGCAGCUGGAGCUGGAUUGUUUAUUCUCCUUUUUAUUGCUUUCAGCCUGUUAUUAAAAUUCUGUGGAAAGUGUGUAGAUACAUCAUCCAAAUCGAAUCCAGUUAAUGGAGCACGGAGUGAAGGUAGUAAUUCCCCCGAAGAAACACAGAAUACAGAAAGCAGUGAGCAUAGAAACAAAAACAAGAGGGGUGUGAGGAGGGGCCCUACAACUGUUUAUGAAAAUGACAUACAUGCUCCAAAUCAAAGUUCUGCUGUGCAGCCGGGGCAACAUCCUCAAAGAGGUGAAUCAUCUUUUUUUUUUUUUUUUUGAUUUAUUAUAUUAGCUACUUUACAUGAUAAAUGAUGCAAAUCUAAUUUUGAAAAAACAGCCUUUAGAGCCGUUCCCGAGCCAACAAGAAGUCAUCCUUCGGAUGCAAAACCAUACUACGGUAAGACAAUAUUUGUGCUCGAAAAAAAAACAGAUUAACUGCAUGUGCUAAGAAUGAAACUAAUUCGAACAUCUGUUUGAAAUUUUUCAGUCAACCAGGCGGAGCUCUUCAUUCCAGUAAAUGCUGGCAAAAAACGGAAAAAACUAAAACGUGAUUACUUUUCAUUGUUCUGAAUUAAACGUCAUUUAUUUUGCAUAUAAAUGAAGGUUUAUUAAGGCACUUUUUUAUAUCAAUUACUGUAGCUACUGUAGUGUAAUUAUAUGGUUUUCUUUCAUUUCUCUGACAGAAAAUGUGUAUAAAAAUCCAAUAUAUGGAGACUGAAGUGAGACAGUGACAGCAGAAUAAUACAUGUUUCAAUCAGCAUAACAAAAUUGUUCAUUAUAAACAGUUCAAUAUCUCAAUAAAUUCUGAUGUUUAAUGAUUCAUGUGAAGAAUUCAUUUCAUUAAAAAAAAAUCUGUUUGUAAAGUGACAUGCACAAAACAUUAAAUGGAAAAUUAUUAUUAUCCUUCUGCCUCCUUUGUUUUGCAUAUUACAAACAGCAGUUUAUACAUUUUAAUAUUUUAGUUGGUCAGGUCUUUCAGUUCGUCUCAAGUUGACAUGUAGUUUUCAGAAAUUAGCAAGUACAUUGUUUGACAUUUUGAUCUGGAGGUCACUCGUUUUCUGAACAUAAUUCGUCAUAAAAUUCUCUCUUUUAAAUCAAAAUUAUUUGAACUCAUCCAAAUCUGGUAAUUAGCAUUUGUUUACAGCAGGGGUUCCCAAACUUUUCCAUUCCACGACCCACCUAGACAAGUAUAAUCUAUUUCAUGACCCACCAAAAUAUUUGAGAUAAAAAACAAAACAAAACAAUUGACAUUACUUUAAGCCUAAUCUUAAUUAAAGGUUUGAUAUGACAAAGUAUUUAAGAAAAAUAACCAUUUUAUUUUAGUGUACAACUGUAAAAUAUCACUAUAAUAUUUAAGUUUUAAUUUCUUUGUUUACAGACGUUAAAAUAUGAAACGUCCAUAAAAACGUGAAACAGGCUCACUCCAGUGAAAUGUAAUCUGUGCUGCGUGUUGUUAAACUCAUCGCGGGGUUCAGCGCAGAAAAUGCAUUCAUGGUCCUUCCGUGUGUGUGUGUGUGUGUAAGGGAGAGCGGUGCACAAUCACUUUUUUAGGAAAGCAUAAGAAGUAAAGCAGAACUAUCUAAAACAGUUUGGAGAUUAAAAUAAUUGGGAAAUAGGUAAGAAUAAUAAACAGAUGCGUCUCAUUUUAAAUAAACACAAAAAAAUGAGAUGACAAAGUUACUUCAGUCAGAAAUUUGCUUUUGCAAUGGUUAAAUAAAUGGUCAGCAAUAUCUUCAAAAGAUUUUUUAACUUUUUUUUUUCUCUAUAUAGAGAUAUGUGAUAUGUCAAGGAAAUAUUGCGAAAUUUUGUACAUUUUGUUAUGUGGAAAUGUUUUAAUCUUGUAGUGUUACAAUUAACC